GGUCCUCAAACUUUUUAACUUAAGGGCCGGAUUACUGUUCUUCAGUGUUUCGGGGGGCCGGACCGCAGAUGAAACAGUAAACAGCUUUUGGCGUUUCCAAGCACCAGAGUAAGAGGUCAUGAGCAGUGUAAACUCUGCUGCUUGUCUACUGGCAAGAAAUCAUUUCCACCAAAACAUCAGCCCAACCAGCAAAACAGAGCCUGUGUACCAUUUAUCUGGUGGUUUUGCACAACCUAAGCAAAGAUGUGUGACUGUUUGUAUAACCACUUUUUCACAUCAAGGAUGGCCAGAACCAAUGCCCAGACAGUGGGUCCUAAGUUUGGUUUGGAAGAGUCCAUUUUCCAGCUCAUCCCAUGGCAAACGAUGAAGUCCUGCUGAUGGGUUGAUCAAGCAGACAACCCUCCUACAUUUUGCCAAGGACUUUGACCCCAUAGCCUUUUUUGAGAAUGGGUGUAAAGAAGUAGUCCAGCUGAUCUGUACUCUGCAUACAGAUAAGAAUGAUGUAGCACAAAUAUGAACUGCAUGCAUGCAUACCUGACAAGACAAAGUCCAUUCCUGUGAUAGUUGUCCCUUGCAUUUUCUGAAGAGAGAGCGAUGUUGUGUUCUUAAGGUCCCGGGUUACUACAACACCCAAUGAAAGCUUUACCUAGUCUCCCUAGCUGCUGGAGCUGUUGCCAUGCACAGAUGAAGAGCAAUGAAAUGAGUGUUACUGCACCACACUAAACCUUUCCCAUCGAUUCAGUUGUGUGUCAUGAGCAGAGCAGGUAGUGUUUGGGCUGCCCAACUCUAUAGCAAAGUUCUGUCAAAUUUCGCAUAUUUACAUAUCUACAAUCUAACUGGGUGUAUGCACACCAAACAUUUCUGUGGCUUUUCCUAAAUUCACAGUGAUGAUUAUAUGGAUCUGACUCAUGGAUAACUGCCUGAUUCAGAAAAUGGGUAACCCAGUUUUUUAAUCAUUCCAACUGCGGCUUGGGGCGGCACAUAGCGCAAUGGGUAGCGCUGUCGCCUCACAGCAAGAGGGGCUUGGGUUUGACUUCCCGAGACUGGGAAGCCAGAAUAUUUCUUUGUGGAGUUUGCAUGUUCUUGAUGUGUCCACAUGGGUUUCCUCCCACAAGUCCAGUAAGGCCAAUUAGUGCUACUAGAAAUUGCCCUAAGUGUGAGUGUGUGUGUGUGUGUGUGUGUGUGUCUGCCCUGUGAUGAACUGGUAUAUGUCCAGGGUGUUUCCUACCUUUUGCCCAGUAAAUCGGACCCACCACAACCCUGACCAGAAUGAAGACAGACAAUGAAUUAAUAAGUAAAUGAAUGAAUGAAUGUAUUGUGGCUUGGUAUUAAUAAACUCUGGUCAGAUCUGAUCUGACUGGUCCAUUAUUAAUUAAAUCAUCUUCAUCAACUAGAUUUAGAUCAGGGUCCUAACGUGUUCAGGGCCCUAAAGCUGUGCAGAAUCCAUACUAUCUAUCCUGGUCAUUUUCUGCUUUGUUGAAUCUUUUUUUUAACAAUAUUUAUUAGCAUUUUAUUUUUGUGUAAUAAGAGCUUGUGUGUGAAAACACUCAUGCAUAAGAAAGCUGGUUUAAUUUGAGUAAACUAGUAAAGAAUUUACUGUCCAUGGAUUGUGUUUCUAAGAGCCUUGUUAUGAUGUUUGUGUUCCUGUUAUUUAAAAUGCUUGUGAAAUAAACUGUCCUUUCAGGCUUUUAACAACCUGCGCUUCA